CGCCGGCCAAGACAGCAUAGACCGAGUUACUGGUGUUUGCGUGAGUGAGAGUCGUAAGAGCUGCGGCCUGCAUUUCCGGACCUGUCCUUUUCCUCGUUCACGGCUUUUGACCCCGGGCUCACUGUCGCCAUCAGGUUGGCAUCCUCGCUGCGAUUCUGUGCUGCAGCCUGUGGCUGGAUUGUCUGCGACGCUUUCGCAGCCCUUGCCUGUCUGCUAACCGACUGGCCCAGGGCACCCGCAAGAUGAGGCUCUCCCUGGUGGCUGCGCUGCUGCUG
rnacentral:other from 1 species